UCGAGGGGUAACAGGUAGCUUGCUAUGCUGACGACCGGCGCACGGGUGAGUAACGCGUAUACAAUCUGCCUUGUACUGAGGGAUAGCCCAGAGAAAUUUGGAUUAAUACCUCAUAGUAUAUAGCCUCCACCUGGAGAUUAUAUUAAAGGUUACGGUACAAGAUGAGUAUGCGUUCUAUUAGCUAGAUGGUAAGGUAACGGCUUACCAUGGCAACGAUAGAUAGGGGCCCUGAGAGGGGGAUCCCCCACACUGGUACUGAGACACGGACCAGACUCCUACGGGAGGCAGCAGUGAGGAAUAUUGGACAAUGGGCGAGAGCCUGAUCCAGCCAUGCCGCGUGCAGGAUGACUGCCCUAUGGGUUGUAAACUGCUUUUAUACAGGAAGAAACACUCCCUCGUGAGGGAGCUUGACGGUACUGUAAGAAUAAGGAUCGGCUAACUCCGUGCCAGCAGCCGCGGUAAUACGGAGGAUCCAAGCGUUAUCCGGAAUCAUUGGGUUUAAAGGGUCCGUAGGUGGAUAAUUAAGUCAGAGGUGAAAUCCUGCAGCUCAACUGUAGAAUUGCCUUUGAUACU
rnacentral:rRNA from 1 species